GGCCUCGUGGGCACAACGGUAGCGCGUCUGACUCCAGAUCAGAAGGUUGCGUGUUCAAAUCACGUCGGGGUCA